rnacentral:tRNA from 1 species
UUUAAUGUGGCAGAGAUAUGCCAUGAAUUUAAGAUUCAUAAACGAAUACAGAUAUUCCUUUAAAA